rnacentral:rRNA from 1 species
CGUAGGUGACAAGCGUUGUCCGGAAUUAUUGGGCGUAGAGGGAGCGCAGGCGGUUGGAAUAGUCUGAUGUGAAAGCCCACGGCUUAACCGUGGAAUUGCAUUGGAAACUGUCCAACUUGAAUGCAGAAGAGGAAAGCGGAAUUCCAUGUGUAGCGGUGAAAUGCGUAGAUAUAUGGAGGAACACCAGUGGCGAAGGCGGCUUUCUGGUCUGUGAUUGACGCUGAGGCUCGAAAGCGUGGGGAGCGAACAGGAUU